GGCUGAGGAAGUUGCUUCAAAAUAGACUCAAGAAACGUGCAGGCUGCUGCUAGGAGACUUGGGUCCAACUGCUCCCUCCAGAUCCUGCCACACCUAAAUGCUCCCAAGAAGAUAACUAUCUCAGAGAAGCAGUGUGAGAAACAUGGAGAAGAACAGCUACUCCCUAUAAGCAAAGAGAGAGCAAAGAUCAAUGACAUAAUUCCCGUCUGCAGACAACUAUGAGCUCACAGGAAACUGAGAAUUUGUAUGACCUUCAUCCCACAGAUGACAAGCAGGCUCUCAGAUUGGCGGGAUGACACAAUGAAGCAGGGAGUCCGGGCCAGGGGAAGAGGAGGAGCACGCAGUGAAUUCUCCGACCCGAAAACCCAGAGGCCCCUCACACAGACUUAGAUAAUGAACGCCCCCCAUCCCAACUUCUCUAUUCACUACUUGCAAGCGCCUCCAGCUUAAGUUUUGAAAAAAGCAAAUUUGACUGCCUAAGAGUUCAAGAGAAAUGAACCGAAGAGACACAGAGCCGUUCCCCAGAGCGAAGGGAGCUUCCUCUGAGCUAACUGCCAGAGGAAUGCGGCACAGCCCAGCAAAUGUUUAAAAUCACGUCCUGUUCUGCCUCUUGUUUUCCAGAAAAGUGUCAUUACUGUCAACUAUUUCACAAGACAAAUAAACCAAUGAAUGAAAUAUAUCCUCCCCCCUCUUCCCAAUGAAAACAUUCUAGGGCUGAGCGGCUUCCUUCCUUCCUCCUCCUCACAGGAACCAC